rnacentral:rRNA from 1 species
UACGGGAGGCAGCAGUGGGGAAUAUUGCACAAUGGGCGCAAGCCUGAUGCAGCCAUGCCGCGUGUAUGAAGAAGGCCUUCGGGUUGUAAAGUACUUUCAGUCGUGAGGAAGGUGUUAAGGUUAAUAACCUUAGCAAUUGACGUUAGCGACAGAAGAAGCACCGGCUAACUCCGUGCCAGCAGCCGCGGUAAUACGGAGGGUGCGAGCGUUAAUCGGAAUUACUGGGCGUAAAGGGCACGCAGGCGGUUAAUUAAGUUGGAUGUGAAAUCCCCGGGCUUAACCUGGGAAUGGCAUUCAAGACUGGUUAGCUAGAGUCUUGUAGAGGGGGUAGAAUUCCAUGUGUAGCGGUGAAAUGCGUAGAGAUGUGGAGGAAUACCGGUGGGCGAAGGCGGCCCCCGGGACAAAGACUGACGCUCAUGUGCGAAAGCGUGGGGAGCAAACAGGGAUUAGAUACC